UCAAUUUCUGAUAAGCUUUCUGCCUUCCUUAAAAUGGCAGAGUUUGAAUUAUCGCGCAAGUGACUUUAAGCGCGAAUUCAAAUCUAGUUGAAAAGCAGAUA
ensembl:ncRNA C08F8.12 ncRNA